rnacentral:rRNA from 1 species
UACGUAGGGGGCAAGCGUUGUCCGGAUUUACUGGGCGUAAAGAGCGCGUAGGCGGAGAUCUAAGCGUGGCCUGAAAGCCCCCGGAUCAACCGGGGAGUGCGGCUGCGAACUGGGUUUCUUGAGGACGAUAGAGGAGAGUGGAAUUCCUGGUGUAGCGGUGAAAUGCGUAGAUAUCAGGAGGAACACCCGAGGCGAAGGCGGCUCUCUGGGUCGUACCUGACGCUGAGGCGCGAAAGCGUGGGGAGCGAACGGG